rnacentral:rRNA from 1 species
GACGAACGCUGGCGGCGUGCUUAACACAUGCAAGUCGAGCGGAAAGGCCCUUUGGGGUACUCGAGCGGCGAACGGGUGAGUAACACGUGAGCAACCUGCCCUAGGCUUUGGGAUAACCCUCGGAAACGGGGGCUAAUACCGGAUAGGACCUCCUGCCGCAUGGUGGGGGGUGGAAAGUUUUUCGGCUUGGGAUGGGCUCGCGGCCUAUCAGCUUGUUGGUGGGGUGAUGGCCUACCAAGGCGGUGACGGGUAGCCGGCCUGAGAGGGCGACCGGCAACACUGGGACUGAGACACGGCCCAGACUCCUACGGGAGGCAGCAGUGGGGAAUAUUGCACAAUGGGCGGAAGCCUGAUGCAGCGACGCCGCGUGAGGGAUGACGGCCUUCGGGUUGUAAACCUCUUUCAGCAGGGACGAAGCGUGAGUGACGGUACCUGCAGAAGAAGCGCCGGCCAACUACGUGCCAGCAGCCGCCGCUGUAA